UAUUCCUACGGGGGGCAGCAGUGAGGAAUAUUGGUCAAUGGCCGGAAGGCUGAACCAGCAAUGCCGCGUGAACGAGGAAGGUCUUCGGAUCGUAAAGUUCUGUUGAAGGGGAAAAAGAGCGGAGAGAGGAAAUGAACUCCGAUUGAUAUUACCCUUCGAGGAAGUCACGGCUAACUACGUGCCAGCAGCCGCGGUAAUACGUAGGUGGCGAGCGUUAUCCGGAAUGAUUGGGCGUAAAGGGUGCGUAGGCGGCCUGCUAAGUCUGGAGUGAAAGGUACCGGCUCAACCG
rnacentral:rRNA from 1 species